GGGAAACCGGAGCUAAUACCGGAUAAUAUAUUGAACCGCAUGGUUCAAUAGUGAAAGACGGUUUUGCUGUCACUUAUAGAUGGAUCCGCGCCGCAUUAGCUAGUUGGUAAGGUAACGGCUUACCAAGGCGACGAUGCGUAGCCGACCUGAGAGGGUGAUCGGCCACACUGGAACUGAGACACGGUCCAG
rnacentral:rRNA from 1 species